CCUGUCCUACCUAUCAUCUAUAGGUACGGUCAGCUGCAUUUAUAAGUUGUUAUACACUUCUGUACCUUGUCAAACUGAGGAACCGUCAAUGCUUUAAUGUAUGGAUUGGCAGUUUGUUAGAUUGACAAGGUUCAAAAGUGUAUAGCUACUUAUGCAGCUGACUGUAGGUACGUAUAAGUACCUACCUA